UAAUCGCGGCGCAGAGCACGAGUAUGAUCGAUGCACGCAUAGUAAAUGAAAAUUCUAAAUCAUAAAAAGUUACUUCAAAAUCGAUUCAAGCAAAGAACCUAUGAGAUAAUUGACUCAUAACAAUUCGCUGGGCAUACCCCAUGAGUCGCAAGCAUUCACAGCCUAUCGCUAAAGAGGACAAGGCCGAAAGAAAUUGAAUAAAAGAAAGACGCAAUGCAUGCAGAAAAAACCUGCGAAAGUAUAUCCUAGACGCGUAGAGGGAAAUCUUCCAAAAAUCAGACAACGCCCACGUUAUCCUAGUUGCGGUCGACGAAGAAAAGAUGGAAAAUAAAAAAAGACAAAGUCAAGAAUGCGAUGUUGCACCUCACAAAGGCGACUACUUUCACUUUCCACGGGUAUAAGCUUACAGUGAGCUGCGGCGCGCCGACUCUUUGGGGAAACGAAGGUUGCA
rnacentral:misc_RNA from 1 species